UUAUUAUGCCCCACCUACGAUAGUAGAGGGGCAUUAUGUUUUCUGGUCUGUGCGUCCGUCCGUCCGUCCGUUCGUUCGUCCGUCCGUCUGUCCGUUCGUUCGUCCGUCCGUCCGUCUGUCCCGCUUCAGGUUAAAGUUUUUGGUCAAGGUAGUUUUUGAUGAAGUUUAAGUCCAAUCGACUUCAAACUUAGUACACAUGUCCCCUAUGAUAUGAUCUUUCUAAUUUUAAUGCCAAAUUAGAGUUUUUACCCCAAUUUCACGGUCCACUGAACAUGGAAAAUGAUAGUGCGAGUGGGGCAUUCGUGUACUGAGGACACAUUCUUGUUUAUUA
rnacentral:lncRNA from 1 species